GACGGAGGAUGCAAGUGUUAUCCGGAAUCACUGGGCGUAAAGCGUCUGUAGUGGUCAAAGUAAGUCAACUGUUAAAUCUUGAGGCUCAACCUCAAACCGCAGUCGAACUAUUAGACUAGAGUAUAGUAGGGUAAGGGAAUUCAGUGGAGCGGUGAAUGACGUAGAGAUUAGAAAGACACCGAUGGCGAAGGCACUUACUGGCUAUGACUAACAGCUCAGAGACGAAAGCUAGGGUAGCAAAUGG
rnacentral:rRNA from 1 species